GUCGUCGCUUCGUCCUCCCGCAAAACGCGCCUUCCGAAUUAACGCCUCUCUGAAACACACGCCCACACAGCGCCUCCGUCGCCCCUCUCUCUCCCAUCGUACGCCCCCGCCGCCCCUCUCUCUCCCAUUGGCACGCCCCUAGCACCGAGCAGCCCUCCGUCGCCAAUCCCGCCUCCUCGCCAAAGUCGCCCUCCCCGGGAGGCGACGCUUCACUUGGCGUUCGGGAGUCCGGCAGCUCGUGGUCCGAUCUCCUCCAAAUCUGGUCCAUCUCCAGCAAGCAGCCAAGCACCUCCAAGCCGAACGACCUAAUCCAACCCCGAUCUACAGAAUCAGCCGAUCGAUACUCACGAUCUCAGAUGCAGCAAUGGAGUUGCGCUCCUGUGGUAGCGAUCCCCGCGCACGAUUAUAACUGCAGUAUCACCAGCGGUCUGAGAUAUAAGGAGCUCCUAUAUCACCGAGUUUCAGAAAUCGAAGAUGACAAGUGUGGGUUUUCUCUACAGCUAGCUGGUACUCCUAAAUCCCUUGCUUCUCAAGACACUUUGUUAUGAAGUGUUUUCUAUGUUUCUUGCUGCCAUCGACGGUUGCAUCAAGUCUUGACAAACCAUCUGCUGCCGUGUCUUCGCGCUGAAGAUGCAAAGUCCUCUGUCCUUGCCCCAUGCCCUACCACAUAAUCCGCAGAAGCCAGGCUAUGCUCAGACGGUUGUCUCCGGGCGCUGCCCCCGCCGAUGCACCGCCCACCACACGGGCAGAUGGAGAGGCUAGACUCAGAGAGGAGACGGCGCGACAGGUUUAAGUGGACCAUGCUCUGAUCGGCGGCUGAAGGGGAUGCGAUGCCGCAAGGAUCAAGCACUCCGGGGAGCGACAUGGAGCGACGAAAGCCACCAAAUCGACGGGCAGGAGGAGGUGCUCACGGUUAUUGCGAGGGACGGCUCUGAUCCAGCGCCUUCACGGUUGGUUCAGAGCCCCUGCAGGGUGGGGAUAUUCGGCUGCUCCAAUCCUUUCUCUUAGGACAAGGUGCGGGUGGCCAUGGUGGCAUCAUGGGUCAGUAAGGCUUCUAGGUCUCCCCGGUCCUUAGCCUCUGCUGCACGGUAUUAUAUCAGCAUUAUUUCUUUUUGCACUUGGAUAAGGUAUAUGAUGCUUAGACAUUGAAUAUUUCCAUAUGCAUUUGAUAUUUAACAUAUUCCAACAUUCCAGACUUCAUAAAACCAUGUCUAAUAGAGUGUAUAUAUCCUUUGCAGUGUUUAUCUUGUAGGCACACUUAAACAUGUUUUUAAUGAACAAAUUAAGGUAGCUGCGUGGAAUAGUUGGCCUGUACAGGUUUUACUUACAUGGUUUCUAUAUUCUCCUGUUUAAAUGGAAAAUGGAACAUUCUCAUAUAAUGUUCCUACAAUCUGUACUAGAUGAUCUAUCAAUUUUGUGCAUGUCUAUUCUUUGUCUAUCUUUUCAUCGGAGAAAGUUCAGUUCUUUUGUCCUACGAUUAUUUUUCUGUUGGCAUAAUUGAAUUCCGUGAUUCGUGUGAACUCAAAAAACAUUCAGUAUGUAAUUCCAAACUGAGUCGUUGUAAGUAGUGUAUCAUAUUAUCCCCCUGAAUUGUUUCACAGAACGUUGGUAUUUGAAUCAUAGUUUUAAAUAGCCAGCUAUAGCCCGGCUAUAGCCUUUUAAACAAUGUGCGGCUAAAGGCAUUCACAUGCUAAAAGUUGGCUAUAGCCGGGGCUAUAGACUUUUUUCAUACGCCACGGCUAUAUUCUAUAGCCGGCUAUUUAAAACUAUGAUUUGAAUAGAUUUAGACAGUAGUAGUCAGUAUUAGUGCGCUAUAGAUAAAGAUAAUUUUUUAGUUGACAAGUUUUCAUUUUACUGAUUGAAUCUUAUUUCUAACAAUAUGGUUUAGAUGUAUUUAAAAUAUUAUCUAGACUACUGCCAUUACAUGUGGAUAAGUACUUUCUUUUGUAUGAAACACAUGAGUGUGAUGCUUUAAUUGUUAUGAUCAUCUACUCAAAUUUAUAAUUUCUUUUGUAUGAAAUACAUGAGUUUUUAUCCCCUUGAACAAAUCAAAAUAAUUGGAGUUUAUGGUCAUGUGUGAUUAUUCACUUUAUGAUCAUCUACUUUCAUGAGAAGCAGCAACGACCAAGAAAAGGCUGAAGAUUGACGCUGAUGUAUCCUAUCGAUCAUGAGAGGACUGUGAUGUAUCCUAUCGAUCAUGAGAGGACUGUGACGUGGGCUGAUGAUCAGAAGAAAUACAUGCUUGAUUGGUACAUGGACUACUUGAAAAAUGAACAUGUAGGAUUUAAGUUCAAGAAGCAACAUCAUUUGUCGUGUGCUGAUGCAUUAAAUAAGAAGUUCGCAAUAGGGGUGAACGUGGAUCAAGUGGUUUGUCAGUACAUGCACUAUAAAGAAAAUUGGAAGAUCAUUGCAGCAGCACUGAGCAAAAGUGGAAAUUCAUUUCACCACACCAGAUGCAUUGUGACUAUUUUAGAAUCUGAAAAGGCAACCCUGUGUGUAUGCUGUCUUAACCACAUUCAAGUUCUUAUGCGAGAAGGAAGGCUUAAAUCUGUGAACUCUACAAGUUGGUUGCAAGCUCAUUUUGUCUAUGUGUGCUACUCACAUAAUGACUAGAACAUGUUUAGUUACAAUACUACUGUUGUUGCUUAUCAAUGCUAGGUGAAUAGAGCUUGAUAAGCUGUUGUUCAUAAUCUGGUCCAACUUGGCUUUUGUCAUGAAUGUUAUGCACUACUUAACUGAGUGGUUGUUGAACAUGUUUGGUUCUUUAGUUAGCAGGGAGAAAUUAAUUAUUAAGCGAUACUAUGGAUGCUUGAGCUAGAUCUAUUAUCUGACGCUUGUUUCCUGUUGUUUUGUAACCAGCUAGGCCUGAAGUUAGUGAAUCUGGAAGUGCUUUGACUCUGGAAGUGCUUUAGCGGUUCAUGCUCUCUCCGUGGUUAAACAUGUUCUACUAACAAAGAAGUAUGGUGCAAACAUUACUGUAGUUGAAAUUGAUGAUAAGCCAAAGGAAUCAUUCCCGGAGCAUGAUACUCAAAUGUGAAGCAUUAGAUGGCACCUUUCUAAAGGUUAGAACCAUUUCAAUACAGUGACUACAUAGUCAAGUGGGGUACAAAUAUGAAUCAGUCCAUGCAACUAUGCAAGAUCAAAUUGGCUAUUAGUUACAGGUGAGUGGGACAGAACUUUUGCUAGCUUGACAAAUGCACUUUCUUCUUAUUCGUGUGCAUUUCAUUUUAGAGCAUCAUGAGAAUCAUGUUCUGUUUUUCUUCAUUUCUUGAUUGCCUGAAAAGAGUGAAUUUUCCACUUUGUUGUGCUGCUGUAGUUGUUGGAUGGUGAUCUGAAUUUCUGCCAAUUGAGGUGCAGUUUAAUUCCUGGCAGGAUUUGCUACAUGGUUACAGAGACCAUGAGAUAUAGUCUAGAGUUUGGUUUUUUGAGAACACCAAGAUCGUGAAAACAAUAAAGAAGGUGUAGUUAGCUUAGUAGAUUCAGGCCCUCAUCACACUAACAAGGUGUAUUGUUCAGUCAUUAUAAUAGCAUUACAUAAACAAUACAUUCUUCAUUCGCCAUCAUUGUACUACUCCACUAUACAAAAUACAUAAAUAAUUAUUGUAAGAUUAUCAGUGUCAUUUUUUGCACAUAGUUUAUGAUCUCAUGAAGCAUACAUGCAUGGUCCAUUGUCUAGAAAUUAAGAAAAUAUUUGGUCCUUAGUGUUACCCAUCAAUUAGAAAUUGUUGCAAAUCACCUGGUAGAGUAUACAAAUAUUGUUGUUAGUAAUAAUUACUAUCAGAUUAUUACUGAUGUUCAGGUGUUUCUAUUCAUACUGCAUACUCUGAAAUUGAUCGGAGAACGGAUAGAUUGGGAGCAAAGUUGCACUGUGAAGGGACUUGGUGUGGAUGCUAAGUUUAGCAUCAGUGGUAGCGGUUCCGAGGGGUUCAGGUGGUGGCAAAGACCUGCCAAAGCCAAAUAGUGUCAAUUAAAAGCGCAAGUCCUAUUCCUCGUGUUGUCUAGGAGUACAAAGGCGAUAGCUCAUGUUUUCAUUAUCUCGGAGCAUGCAUACACUGUUCUUUGCAAAUUACAUAUACUCUGCUAUUUUUUGAACUCUACACUCUGCUUUUCUAGAGGUUCUACAGUUAUGGGAUGUGUGUGUCACGUGAAGGCUUUAGUUGGUGCAUCAAAUCAUAAAAAAUCAUUAUGUAUCCUUUUAAUUUAAGAGGAUCGUAUCUCUAGAGAUAGUUUCCAAGUUAUUUAGUCCUUUCCAAGUUUGUUAGGAUUCUGGCCUUAGGCCUUAAGUAAUGUACCUGAGCUAUUUAUGCCUACCCCUAGACCCUUACGGGAAGCUAUCAAGAAAGAAUCAGAUCUAAUAUCUCUCCUCCCACAUUACUUCUUCCCAUGCCUCUGUUGUGCGACAACCCCCCGCGGCUCCCUGCGGCUGGAGUCGUGCUGCAGAGGUGCAGGGGUUCGACGUAUAUCCCACCAUGUGACAUUGUGUGUAUGAUACUAUGAUGCAUGCUCUCAAGUACAAUAAUAAGAAAAGAAAAAUAGCCGAGAGCAGAUAUCAUAUACCAUAAACUCCUAUUAUUUUGUUACUACUCCGGUGCAAAUAUUUUAGGGCUGUUAUUGAACAGGAUCAUUCAAGCUGCUCCUGCUGCUAUAAAUCUUGCAUAGCCUUUAAUUGUUGCAGUCUGCAUUUGGAGCUUUUUUCUGCUCUGGAUUAACAAGGAAAAUUCGGCUAGGCAUGGCUUAUUUUAGUUUCAGUAUGUCAGGUGCAGUGUUUAGAAGGGAGUAUUGUUGUAGCAAAACAUGCAUGAUAUGUAGAUACAUAAAUGGAUACUAAAUGAGAUUUAGAUAUGAUAUAACACCUUCUCCUUCGGAGUGUUACCUUCCUAUUCGGGUAGAGAGAAGCAGAGCCCCUGCUGCCGACGUUGCCUCCUGCACAGCCUGAUCUUGGGGACGAGCUGUUGGUGCAACCGGGAUAUUGGUGCCGAGCUGCCGACGCGGCCUCCGGCGUUGCCGGGAGGUUGGGCUCGAGCUGCCGCAGCUGCCGGUGUUGCCUCCUGCAUAGGCGGGAGGUUGUGGGCUAGCUGUCAGAGUGUCCUGGCUGCUGGCGAUCAGGUGGAUUGGUCGGCUGGAUCCUGGUCGAAUUGAUCCUGGUGUAGCUUGGCUGCUAGCGAUCGAUUCCAGAGCGGCCUGGCUCCUAGCAAUCGAUUCUGGAGCGGCCUGGCUCCUAGCGAUCCGGCGACGCGCGUGGAUGGACUCCGGAUGGACGCGACGAUCGGGAGCUUGGCGAUCAAUUCCAACGAAAUCCAGCUGGGUGGAUCGGAUCGAGAGUUCGCGAGCAGAUGGACGUGGUGCUGGGUGGAGAUGAUCCAGACGAUCGAUUCAAAAUCAAAUUGUUUCCGACAAGUGGGAGGGGUAUCAUUGUACAUUUUGCUGUUUUGGGGGUUGUCGGAGAAUCGGUUAGUGCAUAUAUAUGCUAUUCGGUUUCGUUCUGUUGGUAGUCGACUCACAUUAGCUUCAUCAAAUUUGUUACUAGCUGCAGUUUUUUAUCAGUACCGGUGCCUGCCCUGCUCCAUAUUUUUCUACUCGCUAUUUAAACUGCAUUGUUCUUCC